AACUUUUGACAAUGGAUCUCUUGGCUCUCGCAUCGAUGAAGAACGCAGCGAAAUGCGAUAAGUAAUGUGAAUUACGGAAUUCAGUGAAUCAUCGAAUCUUUGAACGCACCUUGCGCUCCUUGGUAUUCCGAGGAGCAUGCCUGUUUGAGUGUCAUUAAUAUUAUAUAUCAAACCCUCUUUUGCUGAGUGGUUUGGAUGUGGGGGGUUUAUCUUUUGCUGGCCUCUUGAAGGGGUCAGCUCCCCUGAAAUACAUUAGCAGAACGACCUGUUUGUUCAUUGGUGUGAUAACUAUCUACGCUAUUGAACAGUGAAGGCAGUUCAGCUUCCUAACAGUCUUUGGACAGUUUAUCAUCUAUGUGACCUCAAAUCAGGUAGGACUACCCGCUGAACUUACGCAUAUCAAUAAGCGGAGGCU
rnacentral:misc_RNA from 1 species